rnacentral:rRNA from 1 species
CCUACGGGGGGCAGCAGUGGGGAAUAUUGCACAAUGGGCGCAAGCCUGAUGCAGCCAUGCCGCGUGUAUGAAGAAGGCCUUCGGGUUGUAAAGUACUUUCAACGGGGAGGAAGGUGUUGAGGUUAAUAACCUCAGCAAUUGACGUUACCCGCAGAAGAAGCACCGGCUAACUCCGUGCCAGCAGCCGCGGUAAUACGGAGGGUGCAAGCGUUAAUCGGAAUUACUGGGCGUAAAGCGCACGCAGGCGGUCUGUCAAGUCGGAUGUGAAAUCCCGGGCUCAACCUGGGAACUGCAUUCGAAACUGGCAGGCUAGAGUCUUGUAGAGGGGGGUAGAAUUCCAGGUGUAGCGGUGAAAUGCGUAGAGAUCUGGAGGAAUGCCGGUGGCGAAGGCGGCCCCCUGGACAAAGACUGACGCUCAGGUGCGAAAGCGUGGGGAGCAAACAGGAUUAGAUACCCGAGUAGUC